rnacentral:rRNA from 1 species
UACGAAGGGGGCUAGCGUUGCUCGGAAUCACUGGGCGUAAAGCGCACGUAGGCGGCUUUUUAAGUCAGGGGUGAAAUCCUGGAGCUCAACUCCAGAACUGCCUUUGAUACUGGAGAGCUCGAGUCCGGAAGAGGUGAGUGGAACUCCGAGUGUAGAGGUGAAAUUCGUAGAUAUUCGGAAGAACACCAGUGGCGAAGGCGGCUCACUGGACUGGUAUUGACGCUGAGGUGCGAAAGCGUGGGGAGCAAACAGGG